GACUAUUUAGUUUAAUUAAAACAAAUGUUUUGAAAACAUUAAAAAAGAGAAUUCUUAAUAGCCA
rnacentral:tRNA from 1 species